GGGCCUAUUUUUUUUUUUUAUCGUGGAGGGGGGGUUUUUUAUAAGUAAUAGAACCUUCACUUCUCCCCCCCUAAACACUUUUCACCCCCCUCUUUUUGGAGUCUGAGCCCUCUCAGGGCGGUUUCGUUGUAUUGUUAGCAAAAAGUAUCUCCUCCUACGGGAGGCAGCAGUGGGGAAUAUUCCACAAUGGGGGAAACCCUGAUGCAGCAACGCCGCGUGAGUGAUGACGGUCUUCGGGUUGUAAAACUCUGUCUUGGGGACGAUAAUGACGUACCAACGAGAGACUG
rnacentral:rRNA from 1 species